rnacentral:rRNA from 1 species
AGAGUUUGAUCCUGGCUCAGAUUGAACGCUGGCGGCAGGCCUAACACAUGCAAGUCGAGCGGAAACGAGUUAUCUGAACCUUCGGGGAACGAUAACGGCGUCGAGCGGCGGACGGGUGAGUAAUGCCUAGGAAAUUGCCCUGAUGUGGGGGAUAACCAUUGGAAACGAUGGCUAAUACCGCAUACGCCCUUCGGGGGAAAGUGGGGGAUCUUCGGACCUUACGCUAUCAGAUGAGCCCGCGUCGGAUUAGCUUGUUGGUGAGGUAAGAGCUCACCAAGGCGAUGAUCCGUAGCUGGUCUGAGAGGAUGAUCAGCCACACUGGGACUGAGACACGGCCCAGACUCCUACGGGAGGCAGCAGUGGGGAAUAUUGGACAAUGGGGGCAACCCUGAUCCAGCCAUGCCGCGUGUGUGAAGAAGGCCUUCGGGUUGUAAAGCACUUUCAGCAGUGAGGAAAGGCGUAAGGUUAAUACCCUUGUGCUGUGACGUUAACUGCAGAAGAAGGACCGGCUAACUCCGUGCCAGCAGCCGCGGUAAUACGGAGGGUCCGAGCGUUAAUCGGAAUUACUGGGCGUAAAGCGCGCGUAGGUGGUUCAGUCAGUCAGAUGUGAAAGCCCCGGGCUCAACCUGGGGAAUUGCACCUGAUACUGCUGAGCUAGAGUACGGUAGAGGGUAGUGGAAUUUCCGGUGUAGCGGUGAAAUGCGUAGAGAUCGGAAGGAACACCAGUGG